CCUACGGGAGGCAGCAGUGGGGGAUAUUGCACAAUGGGGGGAACCCUGAUGCAGCGACGCCGCGUGGGUGAAGAAGCGCCUCGGCGCGUAAAGCCCUGUCAGCAGGGAAGAAAAUGACGGUACCUGAAGAAGAAGCCCUGGCCAAUUACGUGCCAGCAGCCGCGGGAAUACGGAGGGGGCAAGCGUUAUCCGGAUUUACUGGGUGUAAAGGGGGCGCAGACGGCGAUGCAAGCCAGGAGUGAAAGCCCGGGGCCCAACCCGGGGACUGCUCUUGGAACUGCGUGGCUGGAGUGCAGGAGGGGAAAGCGGAAUUCCUGGUGUAGCGGUGAAAUGCGUAGAUAUCAGGAGGAACACCGGUGGCGAAGGCGGCCUGCUGGCCUGCAACUGACGUUGAGGCGCGAAAGCGUGGGGAGCAAACAGGAUUAGAUACCCGAGUAGUC
rnacentral:rRNA from 1 species